rnacentral:rRNA from 2 species
UACAGAGGGUGCAAGCGUUAAUCGGAAUUACUGGGCGUAAAGCGUGCGUAGACGGUUACAUAAGUCGGGUGUGAAAGCCCCGGGCUCAACCUGGGAAUUGCAUUCGAGACUGCGUAGCUAGGGUGCGGAAGAGGGAAGCGGAAUUUCGGGUGUAGCGGUGAAAUGCGUAGAUAUCCGAAGGAACAUCAGUGGCGAAAGCGGCUUCCUGGUCCAGCACCGACGUUCAGGCACGAAAGCGUGGGGAGCAAACAGG